GAUGAACGCUGGCGGCGUGCCUAAUACAUGCAAGUCGAGCGAACAGACGAGGAGCUUGCUCCUCUGACGUUAGCGGCGGACGGGUGAGUAACACGUGGAUAACCUACCUAUAAGACUGGGAUAACUUCGGGAAACCGGAGCUAAUACCGGAUAAUAUAUUGAACCGCAUGGUUCAAUAGUGAAAGACGGUUUUGCUGUCACUUAUAGAUGGAUCCGCGCCGCAUUAGCUAGUUGGUAAGGUAACGGCUUACCAAGGCAACGAUGCGUAGCCGACCUGAGAGGGUGAUCGGCCAAACUGGAACUGAGACACGGUGCAGACUCCUACGGGAGGCAGCAGUAGGGAAUCUUCCGCAAUGAGCGAAAGCUUGACGGAGCAACGCCGCGUGAGUGAUGAAGAUCUUCGGAUCGUAAAACUCUGUUAUUAGGGAAGAACAAAUGUGUAAGUAACUAUGCACGUCUUGACGGUACCUAAUCAGAAAGCCACGGCUAACUACGUG
rnacentral:rRNA from 1 species